rnacentral:rRNA from 1 species
GGUUUUCGGACCUAGAGACCGGCGCACGGGUGCGUGACGCGUAUGCAAUCUACCUUUUACAGAGGGAUAGCCCAGAGUAAUUUGGAUUAAUACCUCAUAGUAUUAUUGAAUGGCAUCAUUUAAUAAUUAAAGUUCCAACGGUAAAAGAUGAGCAUGCGUCCCAUUAGCUAGAUGGUAAGGUAAUGGCUUACCAUGGCAACGAUGGGUAGGGGUCCUGAGAGGGAGAUCCCCCACACUGGUACUGAGACACGGACCAGACUCCUACGGGAGGCAGCAGUGAGGAAUAUUGGUCAAUGGGCGCAAGCCUGAACCAGCCAUGCCGCGUGCAGGAUGACGGUCCUAUGGAUUGUAAACUGCUUUUGUACAGGAAGAAACAGUUCUACGUGUAGAACCUUGACGGUACUGUAAGAAUAAGGAUCGGCUAACUCCGUGCCAGCAGCCGCGGUAAUACGGAGGAUCCAAGCGUUAUCCGGAAUCAUUGGGUUUAAAGGGUCCGUAGGCGGUUUUGUAAGUCAGUGGUGAAAGCCCAUCGCUCAACGGUGGAACGGCCAUUGAUACUGCAAGACUUGAAUUACUAGGAAGUAACUAGAAUAUGUAGUGUAGCGGUGAAAUGCUUAGAUAUUACAUGGAAUACCAAUUGCGAAGGCAGGUUACUACUAGUGGAUUGACGCUGAUGGACGAAAGCGUGGGGAGCGAACAGGAUUAGAUACCCUGGUAGUCCACGCCGUAAACGAUGGAUACUAGCUGUUCGGAGCAAUCUGAGUGGCUAAGCGAAAGUGAUAAGUAUCCCACCUGGGGAGUACGUUCGCAAGAAUGAAACUCAAAGGAAUUGAC